GACGGACGCUGGCGGCGUGCCUAAUACAUGCAAGUAGAACGCUGAAGGAGGAGCUUGCUUCUCUGGAUGAGUUGCGAACGGGUGAGUAACGCGUAGGUAACCUGCCUGGUAGCGGGGGAUAACUAUUGGAAACGAUAGCUAAUACCGCAUAAGAGUAGAUGUCGCAUGACAUUUGCUUAAAAGGUGCAAUUGCAUCACUACCAGAUGGACCUGCGUUGUAUUAGCUAGUUGGUGAGGUAACGGCUCACCAAGGCAACGAUACAUAGCCGACCUGAGAGGGUGAUCGGCCACACUGGGACUGAGACACGGCCCAGACUCCUACGGGAGGCAGCAGUAGGGAAUCUUCGGCAAUGGACGGAAGUCUGACCGAGCAACGCCGCGUGAGUGAAGAAGGUUUUCGGAUCGUAAAGCUCUGUUGUAAGAGAAGAACGAGUGUGAGAGUGGAAAGUUUACACUGUGACGGUAUCUUACCAGAAAGGGACGGCUAACUACGUG
rnacentral:rRNA from 1 species